rnacentral:lncRNA from 12 species
AGGAGGAAUAUGCUCUUUUAGGAAUACUAGAGGAUAAUCGGACUUGCCUCCCAGGUAUUUAAUCAUCUGAGGGCCACUACUUAAGUUAUUCUUCCGAAAACAGGAAAGACCAUCCAAAGAAAUCAAGGAAAGAAUUACCUUGCAGCCGCCUUCUACACACAGUGCUGGGGUCAGGUCAAAGGAAGCACAUCAAAUACAGCAGAGAAGUACGUCUCGUAAAUUUCAAUGUUAGACGAUGCCAUACGCAGCUCCUACACCUACAGCCCUGCCUGAGAAGUUGUCAUCUCCUCCAGUCUGUGACUUGUAACGUUGUUUUCUGUUUGGAAGUCACAACUACUUUGAUUUCACUUCACUUCCUGGAGUUUGAUUUACCAGUUUUGAGCUCACUGAAGGGAAAACUGGUUUAUAUUUGAUGCUCUGCAUAAAUGUAACAGUCUGUACCUUCCUCCAUAGUGAAGAGAUUUUAAGAAAACUUGCAGAAAUAUGAUGAGAUUGGUGCUUAGGUGCUAGCGUAACCCAAGCAAUUGUUGAAAAGCCAAAACUUUUACAUCUGCGUGUGUGUGGUUGCGAAUGUACAUAGGCAUCCGUGUGAGAGAUUCCUCCCAGAAGAGUUUACGUAGCUUAUUAUGGGUUAAAAUAUAUGCGGCGUUUUAAAAAAAUUACAGUAUUUAACAAAAAUUUGCAGGCUGAGUACACUAUUUCUUUUGCAUUUUCAAAAGAAGCCAUGCCGUAAUAUUGUUCAGGAUUUCUAUUUCUAACAAAAGCAAACAUAUUGAUAAAUUCAAAAUGUUAUGUUUAUGAAUUGAUUGAUUAAAUGCUUUGUUUCUGUUUUGCAGUAUGGGCAUACCAGUGGGAAGAAAAUGUAAGAUUUGCUUUCUUACUAAAAUAUUUACAACUUUCUCUCAUUGUGUAUUUUGUUAUGGGAAAUUAGCAAUUGUUUAUCUGAAAUAUAAUUAUAUUAGAUAUAUGCCAAUGAGAUUGUGACUGACCCAGAGGAAUAUCUCACAUUAAACUUUAGACUUUAAUAAAAUUUCAAAAUGAUGCUUUUCUAUAUUAUUU